CCUUACCCAACUGAUGUCCCUUGAAAAAGUUUACCCAACAAUUUGCGUUUUUUAUUUGUCUCCCCUGGUUGCUAAAUUUGUGUCUCCUAUAAAAAAGGCUUUAAACCCGAACUUAUUCAACUGGAAUAAAAAUCCAUUAAUCGAGCAAAAUAUAGCGCAAUAUUGACGCUCUUGUUUUUACUUUAGAUGUUUUUUUAUUUAUUUUCGCUGCCGCACGAGCCACACAAUCAAUUUAUUUAUAAAUUUCGCUUAAUUAAUGCAAAUAUAAGGCGAAACGAGAAAAGCCGGGCGAAUAACUUCGUUAGCGUUUGGAGCGGCAAAUUUCAAAAUCUACACAAAGGCAAAGCGUCAGAAUUUUACAACAGGACGCUGCCAAAAUUAUACCUUGAAAGUGGUCUAAUUAAAUGAAUCUUACAAGCCGACAGCACCUCACAUUCAUAAGGCUAACUGAGUGUCGUUCAAAUUCAGUUUUGUUAAUUUCAUUAUUUCACUUUGCGAAGUCAUUCAACUCGCUGGCUGUUAGUUUUUGUUAGUUUGCUUAUAUAAUCACAUGAAGUGCGUUAAUUUGACAUAAUUAGUGGGCUCCGGCACGAGACGAAGUCGAAACCCCAGGCCCAAGCUAAAGGUCUUCGAGUUGAAGAGUAAGCCCCUUUGUCUGACUCCGCUCUUCUAUUUUUUAGGUCAAUGGUCUUCGCUUCGGCGAUGUUUGUUGCCAUGUUUGCUGCCAUUUGAUGGCUUGCCAAUUUAACACCUGACAGCUUCGUUUGGGCCAUGUGCAUUGGACCAAGCCGUGUGCCAUAAGCGAGCGCAGAUGCCAACGCCCCGGUCCCAAUUCCCCUCGACCACGCCCACAACAGGCUCGUGUUACGAGAGCAAUACCACUGUGCACUAAAACCAAAAAGCGGUAUAGGCCUGGAUACAUUCGGGUACAAAUAAAGUUAUUCUAAAUGUGAACUAUCGGUACAAGUAGAGUCUUUUGCAAUCAAAUGAGAAACCCAUAAAAUAAUGAUAUGUAUUAAAUAAUAAUUUUUGAAUAUCCUGCCUUAUUUUUCUCACAGUGCAGUACCCCAAUCUGGUAGCCAGGCUGGUGGGUUGUCACCAGCAAACAAGUCAACUACUAUAGCCAACCGGCCACGAGAGACACAGACACGUCUGGCCAUUUAGCAGAGUUAUGCGAUACAUUUUUGCGAAUAUAUUUCUAGUUGGUUGAGGAAAUUUUCCAAAGUUAAACUCUAGAUUUGAUUACGAAAGAGCUGUGGGUGGCGUUGAUAUGCAAAUGGCUUCGAAAACUUUCUGGUGACAUAGGUAAAAUGUCAAAACUUCAAUUUGCUGAGAGAUCUUAAUCAGAGAUUGUCAAAAUUUUGAUGAACUUUGCAAGCACAUAAUUUAGUUAUGCAACGAGUGUUGAUAGAACGCAAAUUCCACUAAAAUGCAUUUUUUACGUUUCUUUAGAUUAAAUAAUCUUUGAAAGUGAAAUUCCAUUGAAAUGAUGUGGCCAAUAUCUAUGCAAACGUGAAAUUCUUCAUUCAUAUUUUAUAAAAGCACUUGUGAAUUUUAUAUCAUUUAUUUGACCCACCCAAAUAUUUUUGCUUAUGCAUUAAAAUUUUUGUCAAGAACGCGAGAAGUCGAAUAACAUUUCAGACACUGACCUACUUUAAGUUUGUGCCUCGUCUUUCUGUGAAAAGUGAAAUGCUCCGAACCAGAAUUUGUUCAAUGUCUCUGGCUUUUUGGUUUAUUAUUGCUCCAGUUAAGCUGCAAGACGGAGCUUGAACGAGGUUGACACACUUACAUUUAUUUAGCUCAUAAUGAGCUGGCAAAUGAUUUGCCUUUGUCUGAAUGUCUGCUGCUCGCAGGUUUAUUGUUACUGGUUUUUUCACUUUUCAUCAAUAAAAUAAACUGAUGAAAUGCUUUAAACAGCCUCUGUUUGCUCAGCAUAAUGAGGCGUUUCGGCAAAGAUAAACAAAAGAAGAAAGAUGCUGCAAAGUCAAAUCAAAGUUGAGGGAGAAUACAAAAGUUUGGAAUAAUAAUGAAAGUCAAGUUAUAUAACCUAUGCAUAUAAAUAAGUUGACAAGAACGGACGACUUCAGUUGGUUCCUAUGCAAGUUUUUCAAGGAGCUGAGCAAGGACCUCUGAAUUCUUUUUUUGCUGAAAUUGUGCGUAUAUUUAAAUUAAAUAAAUAAUAUUCUAACUUCAGAUAAACAAAUAAUAUAAGCUGCUAGGAUGUAAUGCCCAAAUAUUCCAUUCUAGCUUUAAAUAAAACAGUCCCACUUCAUUUGUGCCAUUUAAGAGGCAGUACCUAUUUAUUUUUAUUAAUCUGUACUUUUUUGUUUCCAAUUGAGAGUACAUUAGCCAUUGUUAUAGCGAGAUUACACAUACGCCAUGUGUGCUGUGUGUAGCGACAAUUUCCUGCCUUUGAGAGACAAAACAUAACGGAGUGGAGCAUAACCAACACCCGCUGUCACUUCAAUUCAUAACAGAUGCAAAUAAAUUUCCAUUAAAGUUUGUGGGGUCUCCGCACAUUACCCUUUUCGGCGCCCAUUUUCAGUGUGCUGUGUGGGCGGACGACAUGCUAAACAGAUGCUUAGUUCGGAAAUAAAGCAGAGAUUCAUGGGGCCCAGCGAGGCAUUAAGGUAUGAAGGUGCCCCCCCAGAUUUAGAUAAUGACCAUUUCGAGUCACGGGGCGCAAAUUGCGGGCUUAAACGAGCGGCGGCUGCAGUCGCAGCAGCUCGACUCUCACACGUUACUUUUCAUAUGUUUAAAUGAAAUAAGUAUCUGGCAGAUACAUAUUUGCAGUGACAGUUGCAUCCACACACGCGAGCUCAAGUGCGAAAAACGGAGGAUCGUGUGCUGGCACUGGGAUCUUCACUGAUUACUUAACAUAUUCAACUUUCUUUUGGACCCCCAAGAGGCCAAGUUCAAUGCGCUUAACUUGCGGCUAAUACGCCUCUCCUUUCGGCCAAGCUCAACUUUCACAUUCACAACCUUUGGCACUUCCUCCUCCUGCCUGCAUGCAAAAGAUAAUUUUCCCGUAACUUUGUGUUGGCCAAGCCGAUUCACAUUUUGCCAUUUGGCAAUAAUGCUGGCUGCAGUGCAAUCAAUGCUUCUCAUUCGAUAUUUAGCAAGCUCACUCAUUCGACUGUGGGGCAAGUUUUUCAUUUCAUUUCUGUUCGCUUCACUUCGGUUCGGUUCAUUUCAGACUGGCGAAAAAGUGUAGAUACACAUGCUACACCCAACGCAUGGGAGUACAAAAAAAAAUGUGGAAAAAAGUGUUUGCCACCGCCUAUGCAACUAUGAAAUAUCGCAUCGCUCGGCGAGAGUACGCGCAUAUAUCCCACCCAGAGCUGGAAUAAAUUUAUGUGGGAAGUUUUUGAUGACGUUCGUAAUUUCAGACCCUACAACUCCCCCUCCCCCCUUCCCAGACUAGGCAACUUAUCUAAUAACGGAGACAGACUUACAACUUCCUGUAAGCCUGCCGGGAAUGUGAGAACGCAGGGAACCAGCGCGAAAGGGUUGCAUUUAUGCCUGCUGAUAUAAUCUGCACUUAAGAUUUAUGCCUCGAAUUGAAUAUUCUUCAUAUUUUCUGCGAGAUAAGGUAAUAAGUUAGGGAAUUUCUCAUAUUUAAGCAAGAGAAGUUUGAGAAUCAACGAGAUUAUAAAGUGUUCUUUCGUCACGAAAUUUAAACAGAUACAAGCUGAUUCAAGAAGAUAAAAUAUCUAUUAUUUAUGUGAUGCACAGUACCAUAGUUUCAUGAAUAGAACCUUUAAAUACGGUUUGAUAGAUAGACCUUUAGCAUCAUAUAAUAUAAAGCAACUUACCAUCUAAAGCGUAUUCUACAUAGUGCAACUUUCAGGCCUUAAAACAAACUUAUGCAAUCGCUUGGCUAGACCAAAUUGAUGGCAAAUAAAACUAAGCCAAAUAGCCAAACUGAACCACUGCUCUAGACUCCAAAAUAAAAUCCCAAGCCACCUGCUGUGCUUUUAUAUCCCAAAACUUGUCCGUUUCUGCGUAAUAGACCAAUUGCAUCAGUGUUUGAAAAAUCCAAAAGUAAGCCCAAAGCAACUAAAGUAAACCUUUGCCUACUUCUGCUUUGAGCCAAGCAUGCGCAUUUGGCCAAGAGGGUGGGCUAAAAUUGGUCAAACAAUUGCCAACGCGCUCUUUGGCGUAAAACACUUUGCAUAUGCGAAGCAAAGAAAACUCCAAAAUUCAGCCAGAGGCGUGCCAUCACAAAACUAAAAACAAAAACCCAAAAAUUAAUAUGCAUUGUUGCAGCAGCACGUCGCCUUGCAUAUUUGGACUUUCACUUUUGUUUUCUUUACAAAAACUAAAAAAAAAAAAAGAGUCAAAACAAGAUUUCAAAAUGAACUUAAGACGCACACUCGAUCCACGUCGACAUAUCAAUCAAUUACAAAUGGCUAACACAAAUGAAAACAUAAUGUAUCUUUUGAUUGGGUGCUUCCGAGUUCGGUGGGCGAGCAGCGAUUAAAGUGGGUAACUGCGUUAAUUGCUGAUACCCCUUACUUUCCCUAGCCUCCGCAAUUAAGUCCAGAAAUCAAAGUUACGCAUUUCCAAUUGCGCAAUCGUCACAAUCUUUUUUUAUUUGGCUGCCUGUCUGGAGAUUUUCAUGGCUUGCGAAAGUAAACAUUUUUACAAUCCGCUUUAUUUUUUAUUUUUGGCUUCCCGAACAAUGCGUGCAGUUAUUACUAGUUUUGGUUCAUUAAUCAUGUGUCGGGGAAACACUUAUGUGCACCUGCUGGGCAUAAGAAAUGAGAAAAUGGGACACACAGAUACCGAUGGGAAAAUUGCCAAGGGCUCCGAGAGGUGAUUAUGAAUAAACCACAUGAUUAAAGGGCAAAUUUAUCGUGACAUAAGGGGAUUUUCUCUUUGUGUUUACCUAUGAAAAUUUAGUCUAUAUCUGAUGGAAUAACAAUCUUAAACUUUGUGGUUUGCUCAAGUUAGAAGUAGAUUUGCUUUCACACGUCUAAGACUUGAAAAUCAAUCAGGGGGUUUCCCUUUGGUUUUUUUAAGUAAGCUAUGUUACAUGAUGAUUCCAUUAAUGAAGCUGCAUUUCAGUUGCAACCUUAUUUUUGCCUAAAAAGCACACAAAAUGUGUCUUCAUAGUUAAUUUCCCCCAUAAGCCUAUUUAAACUGUAUAACUUGAUUAGUUUUACCCCUUUUUGUUCAACUCCAAUUGGCUGGCUUAAUGUUUUUAAUUAACUUAAAGCAAUGACAGUUUACAUUGCCAAUAGAAACGUUUGCGAAAUGGCCAGCUAGGGACUUCAGUUGGUUUCGGAUUGACCAUUGUUGCAUUGAUACAAUGACAAAGUAACUAGCCCCCAAUCGAUCGAUCGGAGUGGAAAGCCGCAGAUAUGGCCAGGGCGAUUAAGUAUCCCAGGCCCAAGGCGGAUGGUCGGUCAACCAGAUGGACAGCUGGACAGUUGGACAGCUGGACAAUUGCCGCAAAUCACAGUGGGACAGCCAUUCGAAAUAUGUGUACUGUUCGCCUGCCGUAUUUCCGCUGAAAGUGCAGGCAAUUUAAGCCAAAGAGGCGGAGAUCUAAUGGUGGAAUGAAUUGUUGCCGGGUGAAGAGUGGCUGGCUUGAUUUUAAUUGCCACUGACCACCGACUAGAAGCAAUGAACUUGCCACCAGGCGGACGUAAUUCGAGCCACAAACAGAAAGCCCCUGUAAUACAAGAUGGUUGUGGGAAAUUCCAAUUCAGCGGACCAGCGAAGAACACCACCAGCGAGGGUGGUGGAUGUGUGUGAAAGUCCAAGGCGGCGAGUGGAUCAAGUUCGAAUUACCAUAAAAUAUGCAGAGACAACGCAUGCGCAACACGUAACCCGAUGCAGAUACGUUUUAGUGAACUUGCAGAUACAAAUACAGAUUCAGAUACAGAUACACUGUCCAGUUCGGCCCUGUUCAGGGUGGCGGCUCGUUCACCUUGGAACGGCGCUUAAAAAAGUCGUUUAACAUCGAGUUUUGGUAGCUAAAUAAGUCCCAGAGUUGCUGGUCUAUAUGACCAGGGCUAAAACUCACAUAUGAAAGGGCCUGGUCUAUAUCCAUUGGCCUUUUGGCCAAUUUCAUGCUCGCUGAGGCGUCGUUUCGACAACCUACUGUUUUGUACACUGCUCUUGUUCCACUAAUUGAGUUAUGUUGCACAUUUCGGCAAGUCAGCUUCAUGGUUCUCCGACUGCUGCGGAUAUUUGCCAAUUGAGUUAUUGCCUUCUGGUUGUGCAUUAGCGUGCGCUCACCUGCGAUUUCCCAAUGGAAAGUUUGGCCAACUCUUUAGACCAAGUUCUGUGUGUGUGCGCUGGCACAUCGGCCAAAAACCGGGUUGGCUUGGCAAACACGGUUAACGGUUUUCGGAGUGCUGUGAAUCGUUUUGUCACGCCUUCGAUUCUGGCCAGAAGCAAAAAAAGUCCCUACUUAAAUAUUUAUACAAGUUGCUGGCACCCAGUUGCAGGUCCAGAUUGCAGCUGCAAAGUACGUACAUAAGUUUGUACCUCAUCACCCGCUUAAGCUAGUUUCAGUGAUUUGUUACACUUUUGGAUUUACAUUUAUCCAGUAGAUAGAAAGCCAGGGAAGCCAAUUUUUAGCCAAUCCCUAUUGACAGGUGCCUUACCAAACCCUCAAGCCUUAGAGAUUAGAGUGAAACCAUGGGGUGGAAAGGGUAUUUCCUUGUGAAAUAUUUUAAAACAAUAAAAUGCAUAUUUUCUCUUACUUUUUUAAAUUUUAUAGGAAACUUCAUCAAUAGUAAAACGAGUAAAAUUUUUAUUUGUUGUCUCAGAGCUCAUUGCAAAUUUAAAUUAAAAUUUGUAUUUUGUUCUUUUUACAUACUUUUGUAAAUCCCUCUGACGUUCCAUAGUUCAACAAGCUGUAAAUGUUUAAUUUGCUUGCAUUUUAAAGUCAUUUUUACGUACAUUUGAA
rnacentral:sRNA from 1 species